ACGGGUGAGUAACACGUAGACAACCUGCCGACAGGAUGGGGACAACAUUCCGAAAGGAAUGCUAAUACCGAAUGAAGUCAGAGAAGGGCAUCCUUUUCUGAUGAAAGAUGGCCUCUGAAUAUGCUAUCACCUGUCGAUGGGUCUGCGUCUGAUUAGCUAGUUGGUGAGGUAACGGCUCACCAAGGCGACGAUCAGUAGCCGGUCUGAGAGGAUGAACGGCCACAUUGGGACUGAGACACGGCCCAGACUCC
rnacentral:rRNA from 1 species